GAUGAACGCUGGCGGCGUGCCUAAUACAUGCAAGUCGAGCGAACGGACGAGAAGCUUGCUUCUCUGAUGUUAGCGGCGGACGGGUGAGUAACACGUGGAUAACCUACCUAUAAGACUGGGAUAACUUCGGGAAACCGUAGCUAAUACCGGAUAAUAUUUUGAACCGCAUGGUUCAAAAGUGAAAGACGGUCUUGCUGUCACUUAUAGAUGGAUCCGCGCUGCAUUAGCUAGUUGGUAAGGUAACGGCUUACCAAGGCAACGAUGCAUAGCCGACCUGAGAGGGUGAUCGGCCACACUGGAACUGAGACACGGUCCAGACUCCUACGGGAGGCAGCAGUAGGGAAUCUUCCGCAAUGGGCGGAAGCCUGACGGAGCAACGCCGCGGGAGUGAAGAAGGUCUUCGGAUCGUAAAACUCUGUUAUUAGGGAAAAACAAAUGUGUAAGUAACUGAGCACAUCUUGACGGUACCUAAUCAGAAAGCCACGGCUAACUACGUG
rnacentral:rRNA from 1 species